rnacentral:misc_RNA from 1 species
CUUCCAUGGAGAUGUCUAGGAGAUGCAAGGAAAAGCAAUCCUCUGAGAGGAGAGUUAUCGCAGGAGAAGCAAAGACGAUGAUCCAUGAUAGGAUUCCUACAGAGGAAGUGAUGAAGCUAGCUGCCAUUGCAAUCAGCUUAAAUGUGCGGCCGAGAUCAUCCGAUAUGCCACUGCAUAUGCAAGAACGUGCUUUUCGCUAUGCAAGAUCUUUUCUUGACUCAGCUCCAAAACACCGCCCCAAUCCAACCCACCUUGCUCGAGCCCUUAAAAAGGAGUUUGACUCGGCCUACGGGCUAGCAUGGCACUGUGUAGUGNGAGUUUCGGAUCGUUUGUGACUCACUCAGCGGGUGGGUUCGUGUACUUCUGUGUAGAGCCGCUGUCUAUUCUUCUGUUCAAAACAGAGGUAGAGUUGGUGACGGAAUUGGAG